UAUGAAUUUUAGGAUAGAUUUUUCUAUUUUUGCAAAAAACAUCAUUGGAAUUUUUACCUCCUUGAGUUCUCUGCCACCAACUUCCAUAAGCAUCAGGAUAUUCUACAACUUCUGUGAGAAUAACAAUUUUACCUUACACUGUAUUUAUCUCAUGUGGUUUAAAACAUCCAGAAAUCAUUGAUAAACUGACCCUGCCCAAACUAAAGCAUGGUGAGUUAUAAAAGAUGGUCACUGUUAAGUGGGGAGGGAUUGCAGGUUGAACUUAAUUUUAUAAGUGGUCAAUUUAUUACAGUAUAUUGUUCUAUUAUCUAUUUCACUUCAUUUUUUAAAAAAGUGAUAUUUGAGGGUAUUUAGAUAAUAAAAAUUUGAGAAGAUAAGGAACUGAUAUACUCUGUAAGCUUGAAAUGUUUUCAAGCAUAAGAUACAAUAAGAACUAAAACUAAGAAAUGGCAGAGGAAAUAGAGAUAAGAGCAUGAAAUUGCAAAACUGAAUCUAUAAUAAUAUCUCAAUGGCUAGCACUGUGGUGCCAAAAAGGUGGUGAAGUCAAAGAAUUCAUAAAGAUGAUAAUAGGCUGCAAAGAAAAAAGACUGAAAUUUUUGUAGAGAGAAUUUUUACAGACAUAUUAGAGAUAGAAAACAGGGAAGAGAAGUUGGAGUGAGAGACUAUCUUCUUCUUCAAUUACUUCCACUGUAGAGAACAAAAAACCAAUUUGCUGAAAUCUUUAUUCCCUUCUAUGACCCUGUGGAAGAUCAAGAUUUGGCCACCCAGAAAUCUAUCUCUUUACCUUGGUUGUUUUCUCUGAAGGCAUUUGACCUCCCCCACUAACUGCCUACAGAAUUUAAAACAAAACAUCUGUUUCAAGAAGGAGUUAUUAUCAUGAUGGCUGUAAAUAUAAUGUACAAUAGAUGUUACAAUAGAAAAGGCACCAACAAGCCCCUCUUAUCAGAAGUUCUGUCUCUGACCAUAUUCUUUAGAUGGCCCUGCAAGGAGUUGCUAGACAGACAUUUACAUUUAUAAGGGAAAUCUCCAUUUGUAAAGGUAUCUGCCUCUCUGUAUUAGGAAGAGGGGGAAUGACUUCAUUUCUAGAAACUUAUCAAUGUAAAAGGUGAGGCCUUAAAUCUGCAUAAUAACCUCACUCUUGUUUACUGUGCUUUAGUGGUAAUCUCCUGUAACUGACUCCCCCCACCCCCAACAUCCUCCUUUGUCAUUGGCUGAACAUGAUAUUUAAGACGAGAAUUCUGCUAUUGUGUUGAGAAACGCAGUGUCCUUGCUUUCUCCCAUGCAUACAUGUUAUUAAACUUGGUAUUAUUUUCUCCUUCUAA